AUUGAACGCUGGCGGCAGGCCUAACACAUGCAAGUCGAGCGAGCGGCGGACGGGUGAGUAAUACCUGGGAAUUGCCCAGUCGAGGGGGAUAACAGUUGGCAACGACUGCUAAUACCGCAUAGGAUUGGAUUGCCCCGGGGGGAUUAGCUAGUUGGUGAGGUAAUGGCUCACCAAGGCGACGAUCCAUCGCUGGUCUGAGAGGAUGAUCGGCCACACUGGAACGGAGACACGGCCCAGACUCCUACGGGAGGCAGCAGUGGGGAAUAUUGGACAAUGGACGAAACUCUGAGCCAGCCACGCCGCGUGUGUGAAGAAGGCUUUCGGAUUGUAAAGCUCUUUCAUCGGGGAGGCGUUACUCGCAGAAGAAGCACCGGCUAACUCCGUGCCAGCAGCCGCGGUAAUAC
rnacentral:rRNA from 1 species